UGUUGGAGCGAGCUUGCUCGCGAUGGCUGAGUGUCAGUCGACAUCAUUGUUGAAUGCCAGACCGCAAUCGCGAGCAAGCUCGCUUCCACA
rnacentral:misc_RNA from 1 species